rnacentral:lncRNA from 1 species
UUUUUAUUUUAUACCGGGGGGCGUGCUGCUCGGCGGCGCGGUCUUGACGAUGGCGUGGUCGCUGGGGCAAUUGGGCGGCGUCUGCCUAGGUCUUGGGUGGCGCUGUUGCUGGUGAUCGCGGCGGCGCUCCAGUGCAUGGGUUGGUAUGUGACUGCAUCUCCGCUGUUUGGAUUGAAGUUUGGUUGGGUGUGAGUGCACGGGAGGAGGUGAGCAACCCCAAAUCUAGCGAUUUCCGUUCUAAAAUUCCAAUUAUCUCCCACUUACGUUUCCCUUUGUCAUUCUCUUUCCAAACUGUUUUUUGUGCAUCUGAGCGUUCCGAUCUGCUCGCUCCUGUGCCCCUCGAGGUCCCAAUUUGACUACAAGCCAGUGGAUGGUUCUCCCGAUGGUGGAAUUGAAGGGGCCCCAAUGGAUAAGGAUGUGACAGGCAAGCGGGAGGCCACCACUACCAGCGUCCUCAAGCUCUACCACUAAUCAUUUAUCUAGCACACAUCACCACCUGGGUUAUGUGGGUAUGUCCUAAAAAUAUGUAGUCAACCUUGCCAGCUCAAAUAAUUUUUAUUUGCUUCAAUCCCCAAUCUGGUUCGUAGCAGACAUGCAGUUAGUAGAAUCUUGCCUCCUGGUUGUAGAAUUUUUGGUCGAUUCGUUGGCUGCUUCAUAUUGUUAAACCAUGGAAUAAUUUCUGAUCCUUCGUGGACUGAAUUGUUGGAUUCUUUUCCCCCUUCCUGUCGUUCAUACAUCACCAUUUGUUUCUGAAACCAAGUCAUAUUUGCCGGAUUUCUAAAUUUCAGAGAUUGCAGAUAGUUAUUUCAAGUUUAAAAAUUGGUUGUAAUUUUGGUUCAUCAGUUGUACCAUAUGCAAACACAUAUCUAUGAUUCAUGAAAGUUUUUGUUCUGUCAAUCAGGGUCAUACUCCCUGCAGCUAGUAGCUGCUCUAAACAUUGUUGUAAUGUUACUACUUAAUACUUAAUAAUGAUUGUGGAGGUGCUGCUAACAUUUCCUACUGCAACAACAACAGAGGUAAAAAAUUAUGUGUGGGCUUCAAUGAUGUAAUUGAUUUCUAUUUGCCAUGCGUUAGUGUUUCCUAUCAUCUAGCUUCGGAUUUAAAGUAAAUAUAUAUACUUCCUGUUGGAGUUGAAGUAAGUAUCUCACGUUUGAGCUGCUUGUGUGCCAUUUUUUUUACCUGGGCCCUUAUUUUAAUCUCAGCUGUAGUUAAUGGCAACAAGCACCCACGACGCCCCUAUUUUAUUUACCUGGGCCACUAAUAUUAUUUCAGCUCUAUUUGGUCUUUGGAAAUGGUAUAUCUGGAAAUAAAGAACUAUGCGUGUCAUUCUAUCAUUCUGCAAAUUAGUCAAUUUUGUAGUUUCUUUCUUUUCCUCAGUGAUAUGCCAAUAUGUUUCAGCUCAGCGCAUGGAGUAAUUAGAUGGUCCUUCUCCUGUGAUUUACUAGAUUGUCAGCAAUGAUUCAAAGGUCAGUUCCUUUAGACAUAGAUGUGGAAUAAAGCAUCAACCUAUUUAAUAAUGUAUCCAUCCAUCUAGCAACAGGUAGCGUAACAAGCAUAAGUAGAUACUGACCCAGACAAAGAAACCCACUAAAGAGAUGGCAGUAGUCUUGGUGAGCGCUCUGAAUCUACAAAUUCCUUGAUCCAUUUUUUGUUGUUGAGAAAACACAAAAGACUUUUACGUUUCAUUGCAUUGAAAAGAAGUUUGGUACAAUCCUCCUAGGAGGCGAGUUUACAAGAUGAGUACAGGCACACUAGUGGACAUCCCAAGUCUGAGGCAGGAUGGCGCGGAGUCCUAUAGCACCUGCUCUGCCCGUCGGUUACUUCCAUGGUCGCUAGGAUUUUGAUCCAUUUUUACAUUAUGCAAGCAUAACAGAAGAGAUAAAUGUAGACACUUUUAGGCACAUACCCCAAAUAUGCCUGACAUUAGAUCCAGAUCAGUAAAUUAACAGUAUGCCAACUACACAUAGCAUUUCAGACGAAAAAAAUGUAGACAUAAAAUGGGAGCAUAGUAGCCAGACACUUCGAACUUCAAAUAUCAUAAAAUCCUAUAUAAAAAGGUAAAUUUCUAACUGAUGCUUGUGCAAUUUAUGUUAUCUUCUAGUUUAAUUCUCUGUAUGUAUAUGCUAGUAUGUAUAAGUAAAAAUAUGCAUGUGUUUGUUUUCCUCAGGGAAGAGCAUUCCUCUAUUUAUUUUAUCAUCUAAUUUAAUUCUCUUUAUGUAUACAUGUUAUAAGUAAAAAUCUGCAUGCGUGCUUUUCUCUAGCAAAGAGCAUUGUUCUAUUUAUCUCGGACCAUCAUGUCUCAUUCACUGGGUUGUUGGUAAGAAUAUGUCCAUGUUUUAAUGUUUUUUUGACUACAGUCUAUAGUUGUAAAAUCUGUCAUUAAGCUUCAGCACUUCACUCUUGCAAGCUUCUUUCAAGUGCGGUCGCCUGAGAUUACCCCAUUGGCUUUGACUAAGACUUCCAAUUAAUUGUUAGGUUGCUUAUCCUGAAGUUCAUGAUCCUGCAGGCGAGCAAAGGAUGUGAUAAGCGCAGUUUUGUCUCUGUAGUUUUGUAGACUUCAUUCAUCAUGACGAUUUUAUGGAGUCUGAACAAUGUGUAGCUGCAAUGGAGGUUCCAGGAAGACUUCAAGAUGCUAGGCAUCAACCAUUUUGAGGUCGUUUUAGCAAGACCUAAUGUUUCAGUGCAUAUAGCGCAGUGUAACAUAUCAAGUCAGUUUGUUUCUGUAAUUAUACGGCCUUGUCCAUAUGUUUUACCCCACCAUCAGUAUUUUGCAUGAUGCCCUAGGUAAUUUGUGUUCAGAAAUUUACAUUGUGUAUCUGCAUACUUGGCUGGCAAUAUCAUUACCUGACAGCCUCCGGACACAUUCCUAUAGAAUCUUAAUUCUCAAAAAAGAAACCCUAUAACCUUAAGGAGCUAUUUCAUUCCUUAAAAGUAUACUUUUGUUGCAGGGCCAGUAUAUUGGAAAUCAGGGGCAGAGCUCAGCCACCAGCUCCAUCUGUAUUUGCUUUCGUACCAAUAACUGGAAAGAUAAUAUUAUUCUCCUUGAUUUCACCGACAAUUGCAGCAUAUGACGCCAAUAUAAAUUGUCCUGCCAGUUCUUUAACAUAAUUAGGAGUCAGGUUCCAAAACAAUUAUCUGAAACUUACCUUUGACCAUCCUCACCUUAACUUUACAUCGCAC